AAUUCGAUUAGUUUGAUCCUGGCUCAGAACGAACGCUGGCGGCGCGCCUAAUACAUGCAAGUCGAGCGAGAAGACGUAGCAAUACGUUUGUAAAGCGGCGAACGGGUGAGGAAUACAUGGGUAACCUACCCUAGAGUGGGGAAUAACUAGCCGAAAGGUUAGCUAAUACCGCGUACGCUCCUUGGACUUCGGUACAGGGAGGAAAGCGAUACCGUGGGUAUCGCGCUCUUGGAUGGGCUCAUGUCCUAUCAGCUUGUUGGUGAGGUAACGGCUCACCAAGGCUUCGACGGGUAGCUGGUCUGAGAGGACGAUCAGCCACACUGGCACUGCGACACGGGCCAGACUCCUACGGGAGGCAGCAGUAAGGAAUAUUGCGCAACGGGCGAAAGCCUGACGCAGCGACGCCGCGUGGGGGAUGAAGGUUUUCGGAUUGUAAACCCCUUUCGGGAGGGAAGAUGGAACGAGCAAUCGUUCGGACGGUACCUCCAGAAGCAGCCACGGCUAACUUCGUGCCAGCAGCCGCGGUAAUACGAAGGUGGCAAGCGUUGUUCGGAUUUACUGGGCGUACAGGGAGCGUAGGCGGUUCGGUAAGCCCUCUGUGAAAUCUCCAGGCUUAACCUGGAACAGUCGGAGGGGACUGCUGGGCUAGAGGACGGGAGAGGAGCGCGGAAUUCCCGGUGUAGCGGUGAAAUGCGUAGAGAUCGGGAGGAAGGCCGGUAGCGAAGGCGGCGCUCUGGAACGUUUCUGACGCUGAGGCUCGAAAGCGUGGGGAGCAAACAGGAUUAGAUACCCUGGUAGUCCACGCUUUAAACUAUGAAUACUAAGUGUCGGCGG
rnacentral:rRNA from 1 species